UCUCGAUUAGUAUAGUGGUCAGUAUGCCAGCUUGUCAUUGAACCAUCAUUCAAUACGCUGGAGACCGGGGUUCAAUUCCCCGAUCGAGAG
rnacentral:tRNA from 1 species